rnacentral:rRNA from 1 species
UAGGGAAUCUUCGGCAAUGGGGGGAACCCUGACCGAGCAACGCCGCGUGAGUGAAGAAGGUUUUCGGAUCGUAAAGCUCUGUUGUUAAGGAAGAACGAGUGUGAGAAUGGAAAGUUCAUGCUGUGACGGUACUUAACCAGAAAGGGACGGCUAACUACGUGCCAGCAGCCGCGGUAAUACGUAGGUCCCGAGCGUUGUCCGGAUUUAUUGGGCGUAAAUCGAGCGCAGGCGGUUAGAAAAGUCUGAAGUGAAAGGCAGUGGCUCAACCAUUGUAGGCUUUGGAAACUGUUUAACUUGAGUGCAGAAGGGGAGAGUGGAAUUCCAUGUGUAGCGGUGAAAUGCGUAGAUAUAUGGAGGAACACCGGUGGCGAAAGCGGCUCUCUGGUCUGUAACUGACGAGGAGGCUCGAAAGCGUGGGGAGCGAACAGG